UGAUAAUGAUGUGGGAAGCUUCUCAAUAAGUAUUUGAAUCUAUCCCAAGCUUUAUAUAGAUUAUCUCCUCUUUUCUGUUUGAAACUCAAUAUAUCACUCCAUAACUU